GGCCUGACUUAUUUCGUUUCGGCACUGCUGAGACCUCCUUUCGCGGAAUAUUACUCAAUAUCGACAGUGUGCGAAGAACGCGAGUUCACCUUCUUGACGAAAAUCGUGGACUAACAGUUCGAAGUCAUUGAACUACUUCCAAAAGUUGUAUCGACAUCAACAGGGUUACGAUUUCAGUGCAAUAUGGUGCAGGAUGACCUUAUCACGAUAACCCAUGAUUAUAAACACAGAAUCAACAAAAACAUCUGCGACACGCACCUGGUUACAUUUCUCAAAUAAAUCUGAUCGAGGGUGGGGAAAUCUGAAAUAUCUGAAAGGCAAGACAAUUUUAUGACAGAGUCAUGAAAUUCUGCUACAGCAACAUGCACAGAAUGACCUCCGUAUAAAAAAGGUAUCACCACGGUCCACCACUACUCACAUGUAUCCCCGCAGAAGAACAUGCUAGUCCCAUUUUCUGCAAGAAAAGGCUUGCACAUCAAUGCGUAUAAUACGGUAUUGAUAU